ensembl:ncRNA lncRNA:CR45380 long non-coding RNA:CR45380
GAAUUCGAGUGCUCCGAGUGUUCGCCAAAUGCUCGCCAAACUUCGAUUGCGCAAGUUUGCCUGACCAGCACCCCCAAAACCAACAAAUGCGAAUCCGUCAGCCCAUUGGGGCGCCGAUCUCGAGCUGCUCCUCCUCCAGUGGAGCAGUUCAACGUCUCGGCCGGAUUUCAAGUUCAAACCAGCUGCCAAUGGAGCGGCGACUCCGACCUUCCGACAAUUACAUGAAAAUGCUGCACUCACCAUUUACGGAUGCCAUCGAAAUUCGCAGUGGAGAUCAGGCGGAGAAAAACCAAACUGAUGAGCUGGAGCGAAAUUAA